UAGGGAAUCUUCCACAAUGGACGAAAGUCUGAUGGAGCAACGCCGCGUGAGCGAUGAAGGCCUUCGGGUCGUAAAGCUCUGUUGUUAGGGAAGAACAAGUAUCGGAGUAACUGCCGGUACCUUGACGGUACCUAACCAGAAAGCCACGGCUAACUACGUGCCAGCAGCCGCGGUAAUACGUAGGUGGCAAGCGUUGUCCGGAAUUAUUGGGCGUAAAGCGCGCGCAGGCGGUUCCUUAAGUCUGAUGUGAAAGCCCCCGGCUCAACCGGGGAGGGUCAUUGGAAACUGGGGAACUUGAGUGCAGAAGAGAAGAGCGGAAUUCCACGUGUAGCGGUGAAAUGCGUAGAGAUGUGGAGGAACACCAGUGGCGAAGGCGGCUCUUUGGUCUGUAACUGACGCUGAGGCGCGAAAGCGUGGGGAGCAAACA
rnacentral:rRNA from 1 species